AUAGUAUGCUGACUAGGAGGGGUAAUAAAGGGAGAAUGGGGCAAACAUAUUGAAACAGUCAGUCCAGGGUCUCCGGUAAUCUGUCAAGGUCCUGUGGUCAUCUCUCUCCUUGAUAGUCUCACUAGACAGCAGAAAGCUGGGAAUGCUUGUCUGAGAAGCCAGAGAAACCAGGACUUGCCUAAGAACAUCCUGAGAAGCAGUAAUCAGGAAAGUGGUCACGAAACACAAGCCACAGAUUGCUGAAUCCAGUGCAAAGAAGGGAAAAGAUCCCUGCUGCUCCCACCAGAACCAUAGCUUUCCAUUCUGAGAGCUGGGAAUGCUUGUCUGAGAAGCCAGAGAAACCAGGACUUGCCUAAGAACAUCCUGAGAAGCACUUAUCAGGAAAGUGGUCACGAAACACAAGCCACAGACUGCUGAAUCCAGUGCAAAGAAGGGAAAAGAUCCCUGUUGCUCCCACCAGAACCAUAGCUUUCCAAUCUGAGGGCCGCUAAUGGAUGUCUGAGAGGGGAGAGAGGUCCAGAAAUCUACCCAAAGGCAACUCUGAGGAUCAAUUGGCAGAGAAGUGGUGAGGAAAUAGAAGCCACAGACUGCUGAAUCCUGACUCAAAAGAAAGAUAAGACUCCUGCUAGUCCCUCCAGAACAACAGCUUUCCAUUCCAAGGACUCUUGGAGAGAAGACUAAACAGGUGUAAUAAAAGGGCUUUCAGAAACAGCUGCCUGAAAUACAAGGAGAGAUGAGAAAGCCAAAGGAGAAAGCAGUUGAGCACGUUGAUUCCUUUGGAAAAUCCCAAAGAAGAGGGCUGCUAAUGGAUGUCUAAGAGGGGAGAGAAUUCUGGGAAUUUACCCAAAGUUCACCCUGAAAUUCACUUGUCAGAAAAGUCAUCGGGAAACACAAUCAACAGACUGCUGAAUCCAGUCCCAAGGGAAAGAAAUAAUUCCUACUGGUCACCCAGGACUGUGGCUUUCCAUUCUGAGCCUGAAGACAAAGAUGAGGCCUGAAGCAGGAGUCCAGUGCAGUUAUUUGUAAACAUGGGGCCAGGGAUAUGAGAGAGCAUCCUCCCAGGAAGGCUAAAGGCCCUUCUUAAUAGGCCCACCCUUAUUCCUACAAAUACUCUAGUUAACAGAAAUCUAAAAGAAAGCACAAAGCAGAAGGUGUCUCCACUCCAACCUGACAUCUUCCAACCUGCUACCAUGGAUCCAACAAAUGUUGCAGUGCAGCAUGGGAUACUCCCACAUAAACCCCACCCAGCCCCCACCCAGCCACACACCCAGAGAAGACACUGCCAUGCUCACAUGCAAAUUCUUGUUCCCCCAAAUCACUCCAUAAAAUGUUGUCAUCCCCAUCCAUUGGCAGUUACGGUGGCAGAAGCCCAAAGGCGGCCCACAGAGGCACUUUCAGAUACACAUGCCUGACUGAGGCAGAAGAGUCAUGGCAACCCAAGGCAACACAGGCUGGCAAUAUUCAUUCCUAUGGAAUGCGAUGGUGGAAGAGUCAGACAUCUCUCCUCCUCGACUAGUCUGUGAUGUUCUACCAGCCAGAGGGAGAGUGCUUCUCCCCCGACAUGCAAUGAUCAUGGAUAUCUCUCACUCAACUUGUUUCUCUCUGCUUCCACAAAGACUGAAGAAGAGCAAGAAUUAAGAAGCAGGAGCCCAAUUCAAUGUAGCAUUGGGGCUCCGAGUAUAGGAAACAGCUUUCCCUGGAGGGCAAUAAAUACUUCAUCACCACCGAAA